UACGGAAGGCAGCAGUGGGGAAUAUUGCACAAUGGGCGCAAGCCUGAUGCAGCCAUGCCGCGUGUAUGAAGAAGGCCUUCGGGUUGUAAAGUACUUUCAGUCGUGAGGAAGGUGUUAAGGUUAAUAACCUUAGCAAUUGACGUUAGCGACAAAAGAAGCACCGGCUAACUCCGUGCCAGCAGCCGCGGUAAUACGGAGGGUGCGAGCGUUAAUCGGAAUUACUGGGCGUAAAGGGCACGCAGGCGGUUAAUUAAGUUGGAUGUGAAAUCCCCGGGCUUAACCUGGGAAUGGCAUUCAAGACUGGUUAGCUAGAGUCUUGUAGAGGGGGUAGAAUUCCAUGUGUAGCGGUGAAAUGCGUAGAGAUGUGGAGGAAUACCGGUGGCGAAGGCGGCCCCUGGACAAAGACUGACGCUCAUGUGCGAAAGCGUGGGGAGCAAACGAGGGAUUAGAUACC
rnacentral:rRNA from 1 species